rnacentral:rRNA from 1 species
UACGUAGGGUGCAAGCGUUGUCCGGAUUCACUGGGUGUAAAGGGUGCGCAGGCGGGCUCUUAAGUCAAAGGUGAAAUCUCUCGGCUUAACCGAGAAAUUGCCUUUGAUACUGAGAGCCUUGAGUACGGGAGAGGGAGAUGGAAUUCCAGGUGUAGCGGUGAAAUGCGUAGAUAUCUGGAGGAACACCGGAGGCGAAGGCGGUCCCCUGGCCCUUUACUGACGCUCAGGCACGGAGGCGUGGGGAGCAGACAGG